rnacentral:rRNA from 1 species
GAAGUAUGGAAGGGUUGCCUCGCCGGUCGACCGGAGAGAGACGUCCGUCCAGGUCGCACGAGCGUGCCGCGGACGUCCCCGGCGAUAGCUGGAAGACUGGGCAUAACCCACCUUUCCUAAUGUGUCGACCUCAGAUCAGACGAGAAUACCCGCUGAAU